AAAUUGAAGAGUUUGAUCAUGGCUCAGAUUGAACGCUGGCGGCAGGCCUAACACAUGCAAGUCGAACGGUAACAGGAAGCAGCUUGCUGCUUUGCUGACGAGUGGCGGACGGGUGAGUAAUGUCUGGGAAACUGCCUGAUGGAGGGGGAUAACUACUGGAAACGGUGGCUAAUACCGCAUAACGUCGCAAGACCAAAGAGGGGGACCUUCGGGCCUCUUGCCAUCAGAUGUGCCCAGAUGGGAUUAGCUAGUUGGUGAGGUAACGGCUCACCAAGGCGACGAUCCCUAGCUGGUCUGAGAGGAUGACCAGCCACACUGGAACUGAGACACGGUCCAGACUCCUACGGGAGGCAGCAGUGGGGAAUAUUGCACAAUGGGCGCAAGCCUGAUGCAGCCAUGCCGCGUGUAUGAAGAAGGCCUUCGGGUUGUAAAGUACUUUCAGCGGGGAGGAAGGUGUUGCGGUUAAUAACCGCAGCAAUUGACGUUACCCGCAGAAGAAGCACCGGCUAACUCCGUGCCAGCAGCCGCGGUAAUACGGAGGGUGCAAGCGUUAAUCGGAAUUACUGGGCGUAAAGCGCACGCAGGCGGUCUGUCAAGUCGGAUGUGAAAUCCCCGGGCUCAACCUGGGAACUGCAUUCGAAACUGGCAGGCUUGAGUCUUGUAGAGGGGGGUAGAAUUCCAGGUGUAGCGGUGAAAUGCGUAGAGAUCUGGAGGAAUACCGGUGGCGAAGGCGGCCCCCUGGACAAAGACUGACGCUCAGGUGCGAAAGCGUGGGGAGCAAACAGGAUUAGAUACCCUGGUAGUCCACGCCGUAAACGAUGUCUACUUGGAGGUUGUGCCCUUGAGGCGUGGCUUCCGGAGCUAACGCGUUAAGUAGACCGCCUGGGGAGUACGGCCGCAAGGUUAAAACUCAAAUGAAUUGACGGGGGCCCGCACAAGCGGUGGAGCAUGUGGUUUAAUUCGAUGCAACGCGAAGAACCUUACCUGGUCUUGACAUCCACAGAAGAAUCCAGAGAUGGAUUGGUGCCUUCGGGAACUGUGAGACAGGUGCUGCAUGGCUGUCGUCAGCUCGUGUUGUGAAAUGUUGGGUUAAGUCCCGCAACGAGCGCAACCCUUAUCCUUUGUUGCCAGCGGUUAGGCCGGGAACUCAAAGGAGACUGCCAGUGAUAAACUGGAGGAAGGUGGGGAUGACGUCAAGUCAUCAUGGCCCUUACGACCAGGGCUACACACGUGCUACAAUGGCGCAUACAAAGAGAAGCGACCUCGCGAGAGCAAGCGGACCUCAUAAAGUGCGUCGUAGUCCGGAUUGGAGUCUGCAACUCGACUCCAUGAAGUCGGAAUCGCUAGUAAUCGUGGAUCAGAAUGCCACGGUGAAUACGUUCCCGGGCCUUGUACACACCGCCCGUCACACCAUGGGAGUGGGUUGCAAAAGAAGUAGGUAGCUUAACCUUCGGGAGGGCGCUUACCACUUUGUGAUUCAUGACUGGGGUGAAGUCGUAACAAGGUAACCGUAGGGGAACCUGCGGUUGGAUCACCUCCUUA
rnacentral:rRNA from 1 species